GUUUGCAUCUUUGAGCUGAUUACUAAUGAAGCUGAGCUGCUAAAGGUUACCAUUUUCAGAAAUGUGAACUAAACUUGUUCACAUUCUUGAUACUGCUACUUUGACAGGUUGAGAUUUGAGAAGUUUGAUUGCUGUUGAGAAACUGUCACAAGUUCUUUUGUUCUUGGAAGGCUUGGUAGAAGUAACUUGAUUGCCAUUUUAGGGAUUAAUGGGCAAUGAACUAGCUUUGGAAGUCUGCUGAAAUUGUAGUAGUGGCAUUUGGUAUUAUCUUUUGCUUCUUGUAGAUAUGGUGUUUGUCAGGAUUUUAUAUGAACAGAAUCUAAAUUUUAAUGCAGUCUCAACACUAA
rnacentral:misc_RNA from 1 species